AAAAUGGCGCUAUUAAGCGCCAUUUUCAUUCUACUUAUCAGUAAA
rfam:Pseudoalteromonas phenolica strain KCTC 12086 chromosome I, complete sequence.